GUAUCAGUAGCUCUACUACUGAA
rnacentral:miRNA from 1 species